AAAGUCCCUGCCUACAUGAAGCUUACCUUGCAGUGGAGGAGGAAGACAAUAACAUCAUGUCAGAGGUGAUACAUGCUAGAAAAAUACUAAGUGGGCCAAGGGGAGAGUGUGAAGGUGGACACAGUGGUGGUGGCUAUUUUUGAAAGAGGCAUCAGGGUAGGGCUCCCCACUUCGAGUGAACUAAGCAAGCAAGGAACAUGGAUCUGCAGGGUUUGAGAGUUCCAGGAGGAAGGGACAGCCAGCCUGACAUGCAGAGUGAACGAAGGACAGCCAAGGACCAGGUGCUGCUACUGCUACUUCAAACUGUAAUAGUGUCUACAAACAAUUUGCACUUUGGAAUGCCACAAUCCCAGGGGGUAAUUAACAAAUCCAGGGAACAAUCUUUUUAAAAGCCUUUAAAAGCAACAGAGACUGAGGCCACCUUCGAUGAAAUAGAAUCACUCCACUUUCUCUGUCAUUUCAGAAGAUACCUGGCUGACUCGUAGAGAGGUUUUGAGAGCACAGGCCCUGGGCUUUAUGGAAAGUUCCUCAAGAUGUGUUAAUUAGAAAUAAAAUGCAGCAUGGUUAUCGGCUGCAGAGCUUUCUGAAUGAAGCAGACUCUGAAGAGGGACUAAGAUUUCAAGAGUUAGAAGCAGAGUUCACAAAGGGCCACCCAAGGACUGUGAAUUCCAAACAUACCAUUCACUAUUCCAAGGUAGAAGACUGCGUUCACCAGCAUGCCUCCUUUCCGGAAGUGGUCGCUCAUGUGCUCUAACCAGUUGGCGUCCAAACCGCUCACUGUCUGGCCAUUCUUGGAGACAUGGAGAGGAAUGGUGACAGGGUAGUAUUGCCGGCACUUCUGAUGGCUCUUCGGUUUGUUGAAAAGGGUGAAGAUCUCCAUUUCUGUUGGGAUUUGUAAAGGGAGUGGAGAGAGAAGAGGUCAACUGAUGAUAAAAAUCUGUUUCAUCGGCUUAAGUGGAAUCUCUCAGGAGCCUGAAUAAAUGAUAUGAUGAAUGC
rnacentral:lncRNA from 10 species